rnacentral:pre_miRNA from 1 species
AUAUGAAUCACCUGGGGAUUUUUGUAGAAAUGUAGAUUCUGAUCCAGUAUAUCUGGAUGGGGCCUGAGAUUCUGCAUUUCUAGCAAGUUCCCAAGUGAUAUUAAU